rnacentral:rRNA from 1 species
GGAAUUGUUCGCAAUGGGCGCAAGCCUGACGACGCAACGCCGCGUGGAGGAUGAAGAUCUUCGGGUCGUAAACUCCUGUCGAGCGGGACGAACACUUUUCAGGUGAAUAUCCUGGAAGGCUGACGGUACCGCUAAAGGAAGCCCCGGCUCACUCCGUGCCAGCCGCCGCGGUAAUACGGGGGGGGCAAGCGUUGUUCGGAAUUACUGGGCGUAAAGGGCUCGUAGGCGGCCAACUAAGUCAGACGUGAAAACCCCAGGCUCAACCUGGGAACUGCGUCUGAUACUGGAUGGCUUGAAUCCGGGAGAGGGAUGCAGAAUUCCAGGUGUAGCGGUGAAAUGCGUAGAUAUCUGGAGGAAUACCGGUGGCGAAGGCGGCAUCCUGGACCGGCAUUGACGCUGAGGAGCGAAAGCCAGGGGAGCAAA